UGGAUUCCAUUUUGCAGCAAAAAACAUUCUUCAAUGGCGACUCUUUCUCUUACCCAAUUUUCCUUAUCCCUUUUACUCAUCACAUCAUUCUUCUUUUCUCCUUCAUCUGCCCAAACUAAAUGCAACGUUAACUCCGUCUACCAACUCGGCGACUCCCUCGCCGACGCCGGAAAUGUCAUCCGUACUCCCGGCGCUUCCAUCAUCUUCCGCGCCGACCGUUCCCCUUACGGUGAAACUUUCUUCAGAAGACCCACCGGCCGCUUCUCCAACGGCCGCCGUUAUCACCGAUUUCAUUUCUCAAUCAUUCAAACUCUCAUUCCUCAAUGCUUAUUUAGACAGAGGCGCAUCUUUCAGUCAAGGAGUAAAUUUCGCCGUCGCCGGAGCUACCGCCCUUGAUACAUCCUUCUGGACUGCUCGUAACAUCCGGUUACCCACAUGGAACACUCCGCUUUCAAAUCAAUUAAAUUGGUUCAAAACGCAUCUCCAAUCGACUUGUGGUUCUAGAUGUGCAGAGAAUUUGAAAAAGUCGAUAGUAAUAAUGGGGGAAUGGGGAGGAAACGAUUACUACAAUUGUUUCUUCCAGAGAAAGCAAAUCACAGAAGUUAGAACUUACGUUCCAUUUGUUGUUGCAGGGAUAAUGAGAGGCAUCAAAGAGGUGAUUCAGCUCGGAGCAACACGAGUGUUGGUUCCGAGCAUUUACCCUCUCGGAUGCCUCCCAUUAUACCUCACAUCCUUCCCUGAUAACAAUACGAGUGGUUACGAUCAAUUAGGAUGCUUGAGGAACUUCAAUGAUUUCGCUUCGUAUCAUAAUAGAUACAUGGUUAGGGCUAUAGCGAAUCUACAACGUGAAUUCCCAAAUGUUAGCAUUGUUUAUGGUGAUUUUUAUGGUGCAAUUUUGUCACUUAUUCGCAACCCGUCUUCGUUUGGGUUUAAUCAAAAUACAUUGCUGAGUGCGUGUUGUGGAACUGGAGGGAGGCAUAAUUUUAACUUCAGGACUGUGUGUGGAGCAGCUGGGAUUAAUGCUUGUGCGAAUCCGGCACAGUAUGUUCAUUGGGAUGGAAUUCAUUUGACAGAUGAAGCUCAUCGUCGUAUUACUGAAGUUCUUGUUAGAGAUAUGUUAGCCAAAUUCAACUGUGUCGUUUAAUUGGAUUAUUUUCUUGCCGUGAUCUGAGACAGUGAUAAAAUCUGCGUAUUUUAUCCUCCUCCAGACUCAUUUAUCGGGACUUCAUUAAGUAUGUUGUUGUUGUAUCUUCCUCGCUGUGACGAAGAGAGAAUUAUUAAGUUAAAUAAGAGGAUGAUUUGGUGUUUGGACUAUAUUUAAUUAGGUUUGUAUUGAAAAAAACAGAGUGUUUUUUUUUUAAGUUUAAAAUAAUGUAUUUGAAGUUUUUUUGUUUU